UUUUUUUUUUUUUUUUAAUUUGUGCAAGUGAAGCUGUUGUGCGUGUUUGAAGAUGGCGGAUGUUGCGGCAAACCAAGUGGGUGGUUCUUUUGGUGAUGCAAAUGAUGCCAGAAAAAUGUGUUCGAUCUAGGCGCAUUUGUGGGGGACUUGACUUUUGAGGAAGAUGCAAGUGGCUCAUCAUGUCUCGGCGGCGGAUCCCGUGCUUGGAUUCAUAUUUAGACAAGGUCAAUAUUUCCUUGUGGCCUCGUUUUAAGAUGGUUUUGACUUGUAUCUUGGUAGUUUGUGUAAUGCAAAUGUGAGGACAUUGUGGGAAGAUGAUAUUCAUUCAUUAUGUAAUGAGGUG